CAGGGAGACAACAAAAUGUUUAAUAUUAUUAUUUUGUCACCUUAGGUCGAUCGGUAUCUCACAUUCUUAAUUUAUUAAGGAUUUUAUUUCCUAAGUUUUUCUAGGUCACACCCAUUAUUUUUCCUGGGCCAUUAGCUCAGGUGGUUAGAGCGCACCCCUGAUAAGGGUGAGGUCCCUGGUUCAAGUCCAGGAUGGCCCAUAUCUCUAUGUUGGGGGUAUAGCUCAGUUGGUAGAGCGCCUGCUUUGCAAGCAGGAUGUCAGCGGUUCGAGUCCGCUUACCUCCACUGAUUACCACCUCUUCCAUAAUCUAUAGAAAGGAAAUGUUUUGAGUUGUGAUCAAAUUCUGAACGAAUCUAGCUUCCUAAUCAAAUCAUUAAGAUGCUGGACUCAUUGAAUUAACUUCAUUGUUUUCAGAGAACCUUGACAACUGCAUAGAUUAUUUUUAAAGACAAUAAGCAUCUUUAAUGAUGCAGAUUUAUUAUUUGUGCAAAUGCAUUAAUAACAAUUCUAUUAAGCUGAUGCUUCAAUAUUUGAAGUUAUU
rnacentral:tRNA from 1 species